AUAAGAGGUCCCGCCUGCCCUGUGACUAUUAGUUUAACGGCCGCGGUAUUUUGACCGUGCAAAGGUAGCGCAAUCACUUGUCUUUUAAAUGAAGACCUGUAUGAAUGGCACAACGAGGGCUUAACUGUCUCCUCUUUCAAGUCAAUGAAAUUGAUCUCCCCGUGCAGAAGCGGGGAUAUAAACAUAAGACGAGAAGACCCUAUGGAGCUUUAGACACCAAAGAAGAUCCUGUCAAGUAACCCCUUAUAAGGGCCUAAACUAAUGGAAUCCUUCCCUAAUGUCUUUGGUUGGGGCGACCGCGGGGAAACAAAAAACCCCCACGUGGAAAGGGAGCACCCCCUCCUACAACUAAGAGCCGCAGCUCUAAUUAACAGAAUAUCUGACCAAUAAGAUCCGGCAAUGCCGAUCAACGGACCGAGUUACCCUAGGGAUAACAGCGCAAUCCCCUUUUAGAGCCCAUAUCGACAAGGGGGUUUACGACCUCGAUGUUGGAUCAGGACAUCCUAAUGGUGCAGCCGCUAUUAAGGGUCCGUUUGUUCAACGGUUAAAGUCC
rnacentral:rRNA from 1 species